AUGCUCACUUCGGAACACAUUUAUUAAAACUGCAACGACGAUACAGAGAUUAGCAUGGCUCCUGAGCAAGGAUGACACGCAAUAUAAAAUUAAAAUUGAAAAAUUUUU